ACUCCUACGGGAGGCAGCAGUGGGGAAUCUUGGACAAUGGGCGCAAGCCUGAUCCAGCCAUGCCGCGUGAGUGAUGAAGGCCCUAGGGUCGUAAAAGCUCUUUCGCCAGGGAUGAUAAUGACAGUACCUGGUAAAGAAACCCCGGCUAACUCCGUGCCAGCAGCCGCGGUAAUACGGAGGGGUUAGCGUUGUUCGGAAUUACUGGGCGUAAAGCGCGCGUAGGCGGACUGGAAAGUUGGGGGUGAAAUCCCGGGGGCUCAACCCCGGAACUGCCUCCAAAACUCCCAGUCCUUGAGUUCGAGAGAGGUGAGUGGAAUUCCGAGUGUAGAGGUGAAAUUCGUAGAUAUUCGGAGGAACACCAGUGGCGAAGGCGGCUCACUGGCUCGAUACUGACGCUGAGGUGCGAAAGUGUGGGGAGCAAACAGGAUUAGAUACCCUGGUAGGAUAGCG
rnacentral:rRNA from 1 species